UACAGAGGUCCCGAGCGUUGUUCGGAUUCAUUGGGCGUAAAGGGUGCGUAGGCGGCGGGGCAAGUCUGAUGUGAAAUCCCGGGGCUCAACCCCGGAACUGCAUUGGAUACUGCCUUGCUCGAGUACUGGAGAGGGAACUGGAAUUUACGGUGUAGCAGUGAAAUGCGUAGAGAUCGGGAGGAACACCGGUGGCGAAGGCGGGUCUCUGGGCAAUUCCUGACGCUGAGGCGCGAAAGCGUGGGGAGCAAACGGG
rnacentral:rRNA from 1 species